rnacentral:rRNA from 1 species
UACGGAGGGGGCUAGCGUUGUUCGGAAUUACUGGGCGUAAAGCGCACGUAGGCGGCUUCGUAAGUUAGAGGUGAAAGCCCGGGGCUCAACCCCGGAAUUGCCUUUAAGACUGCAUCGCUAGAAUUGUGGAGAGGUGAGUGGAAUUCCGAGUGUAGAGGUGAAAUUCGUAGAUAUUCGGAAGAACACCAGUGGCGAAGGCGACUCACUGGACACAUAUUGACGCUGAGGUGCGAAAGCGUGGGGAGCAAACAGG